CGGCCCCUCCCGCUCGAUCGGGUCCGUAGCCGGCGCAUGCGGCGGCGCUCCGUUGGCGGCCGGCGCAUGCGCAGCGGCAGGGAGCAGCAUGGCGGCGAGUAGGGCAGGCGUUUUCGCUCGGCGGCGGCGGGUUGAGAGCCGGGGCCGCCUGGAGUCGAGGAUCUGGGGGCCCCGGUGAGGCGAGCGCGUGCCUUCGGAUGGCGGUGGGCUGUGUCCUGCCCGCUGCGGCCGUCGAUUGAUUGCCAUGGCUGAAGUUGAAGAGACCAGAAAAACGUCAGCAAGCUGAAGUGAUGAAAUCAAACGGAACCGACUGAGAGCUGUCUCCAUCGCCCAAAAAGGGAAAGCCCGUUCCUCCUGGUGAGGAAAGAUCACCAUUAAUAGCAAUCGGAAUAAUAGAUCACCAACAUAUAAGGUCUGAAGGGCGAUGGAUUUUACUAUGCCUCCAUCAACAAGCACUGGCUGGCAAAGUUAUGUCAUGUCCCAACGGAGACUCUUAGGCAAGACAGAGGAGUUCAGGCGUUCAGAACAUCGGGGAACGACUAUGUGCUGCCAUGAAGAACUACAGGCUACUGUCCUCAGCCCUUUGUAA
rnacentral:lncRNA from 1 species